rnacentral:rRNA from 1 species
GACGAACGCUGGCGGCGUGCCUAAUACAUGCAAGUAGGACGCAGUUGCGAACGGUUGAGUAACGCGUAGGUAACUGCCUCUUUGAGUGGUAUAACUAUUGGAAACGAUAGCUAAUACCGCAUACUAGUAGAUGGACCUUUGUUGUAUUAGCUAGUAGGUUGGGUAAUGGCCUACCUAGGCAACGAUACAUUGCCGGCCUGAGAGGGUGAUCGGCCACACUGGGACUGAGACACGGCCCAGGAUCCUAAGGGAGGGAGCAGUAGGGAAUCUUCGGCAAUGGGGGGAACCCUGACCGAGCAACGCCGCGGGAGUGAAGAAGGUUUUCGGAUCGUAAAGCUCUGUUGUUAAGGAAGCGGUACUUAACCAGAAAGGGACGGCUAACUACGUGCCAGCAGCCGCGGUAAUAC